rnacentral:rRNA from 1 species
UACGAAGGGGGCUAGCGUUGCUCGGAAUGACUGGGCGUAAAGGGCGCGUAGGCGGUUCGUACAGUCAGACGUGAAAUUCCCGGGCUCAACCUGGGGACUGCGUUUGAUACGUACGGGCUUGAGUUCGGAAGAGGGUCGUGGAAUUCCCAGUGUAGAGGUGAAAUUCGUAGAUAUUGGGAAGAACACCGGUGGCGAAGGCGGCGACCUGGUCCGAUACUGACGCUGAGGCGCGAAAGCGUGGGGAGCGAACAGG